rnacentral:lncRNA from 1 species
CAAUAGCCAACCCCUUGAAAAGAAAAGAAAAAUCUCUAAAACCCCAAACAAUAUUAAUGUCUGGUCCUUCAGAACCAUUGUUGCUGUCUCAUAUCGGCGCCGAUGAUUCUAACGUCGACCACAAAACCAGACCAGAAGCUUUAACUUUCGACAGCAUUGUCGAACACAGUCUAUCAGAUUUUGGGUUCUGGCAACUCUUCCAGGUAAUCCUCGUUGGACUCACUUUGCUCUUCGAUGCUCAGCAGAUAUUCAUCACGGUUUACACAGACGCAUACCCUACAUGGCACUGUCUUAACCACACGAUCUGCGAUCAUGCCACUUCCGACAUCUGCAAGCUCCCAAGAUCAGCUUGGGAAUGGGACGGUGGCUCCACGGACAAAACCAUCAUUUCAGAUUUUGGACUCGAGUGCUCGAGCUCAUUACUCAGAGGUAUGCCUACCUCUGCUUUCUACAUCGGUGGCAUUGUUGGUGGAUUCGUUCUAGCUUUAAUCCCAGAUGGUUUCUUGGGCCGCAAGAAACUAGUUUUUCUCUCAACUUUUGCUACGUCAGUGACUGCAAUCUCUGUUGUUUUCUCAAUCAACGUAUGGAUUUACACAACCCUAAAGUUUGUCAACGGGUUCUCGAAAUCACAGACAUGGUCAUAUGCGAUGGUUCUCAUCAGCGAGCGAGUCUCCACCAAAUGGAGACCGAGAGCUACCAUGAUUCCAUUUACCUUUUUCGUUUUAGGGUUUAUGUCAUUGUCUGGAAUCGCUUACCUUGCUCAACACUCUUCAUGGAGAUUUCUCUAUCUCUACACAGCCGUUCCCGCAUUAUUAUACUGUAUCUUUCUGUACAUAUUCGCACUCGAAUCACCUCGGUGGCUUCACUUGCAAGGAAACGACGAAGAAGCCAUUAAAGUUCUCAAAAGCAUGUCGUCGAAGAACAAACCCUACUUGGAAUCACUAGUUUCUGUGUUACCCCUGGAGCAAGAAACCUCUGAAGAACUGCCAAGGUACUCGAUUAAGGACUUCUUCUUCCGAAAGUGGGCUUUUCGGAGGAUUGUGGUUGUUAUGAUCAUAAUGUUUGGAUUGGGAAUAUCAUACUACGGAGUUCCUUUAGCAGCUAGAGACAUAGACGUCAACAUCUACUUAUCUGAAACCCUAAACGCAGUGGUGGAGUUGCCUUCUUUUGUUAUCACUCCGAUCAUAUUGGAGAGGGUCAACAGAAGAAGCUCUGUUCUAGUGAAUACAUUACUAGGUGGAGCUUCAGGAGUGCUUUGUUUCGUUCUCAGCGUUCUUGGGAAAACAGGCAUUGCGUUUGCGUUUGAGCUAGCGACGUUUUUCUGUGCAAGGAUCGGAUUUAACCUAAUGGCGGUUUAUAUGGUUGAAAUGUUUCCUACUUGUGUAAGAAGUUCUGCAACAAUGAUGUUUAGACAGGCCCUUGUUGUUGGAGGAGCUUGUUGUCCGCUCAUUGCUUCCAUUGUAAGAGAUCUACCAUCAGUAUCCUUUGCGAUUUUCGGAGUUGCCAUGUCUGGUUUGGGGUUGUUCGUUUUGAUUCUACCCGAGACAAAAGGUUCAAGCCUCUGCGAUACAAUGGAAGAACAAGAAAAAAGAGAUCAAGCUAUAAACUCUAGCUGUUGUUGAUGAGUUUAAGAGUUUCUUUAUCUUAUAAAUUAUCUAUCUUAAUAUGUUUUCAAAUAUAUGUGGGUGUUGAAGCAAAAUACUGAUGCCGGAUAAGGAUCCGGAUCCGGAUACCUUAAAAUUGUCCGGAUACCCGAUCCGAGGUACUACUAUGUUUAUGACGCGACCUAUAAAUAUGAACGCACUAAAAGAGAAACAACAAAUUAGUACAAACUUAAUUUCAUACUAUUGACUUCAUCAACCCACCCAUCUCACAAGCACAUUUUAAAUACAAUAGCUCAUAUCAAACCCAAACACGGCAUGAUUAAGGGAGAAGGUGUUAGUGCCUUAGUGGUACUUAUAUUUUAACAAAGUUGUCAGUUUAAACUUUUUUUUUUUUGAAUAAAAUAAAUAUUGAAUGUAAUUUAAAAUCAUCAAACCAAUACAAAUAUUUUUUACUAAAAUAUAUAACUAAUAAUGUUAGGUAACAUUAAAUUAUUACUAUAAUUUAUAAUCACUAACAAUAAAAGUUAACUCUCAUUAGUCCCUUUAUAAAUCCGAGAUGUGUUUUGAUGAAAGCACAGAUUUAUAUAUAGCUGAUAAGUGAGCAUUUAUCAUCCAAUAGCCAGCUCCCUUCAACAAAAAAGAAAAAGCUCUAACGCCCAAACAAUAUUUAAUGGCUGAUCAGUCAGAACCAUUGCUGUUGUCUGCCGAUGAUUCCGACGUCGACCACAAAACCAGACCAGAAGCUUUAACUUUCGACAACAUUGUCGAACAGAGUCUAUCAGAUUUUGGGUUCUGGCAACUCUUCCAGGUAAUCCUCGUUGGAGUCGCUUUGUUCUUCGAUGCUCAGC